AGUAAACGCUGGCGGUAGGCCUAACACAUGCAAGUCGAACGGCAGCACAGUAAGAGCUUGCUCUUACGGGUGGCGAGUGGCGGACGGGUGAGGAAUACAUCGGAAUCUACUUUUUCGUGGGGGAUAACGUAGGGAAACUUACGCUAAUACCGCAUACGACCUACGGGUGAAAGCAGGGGAUCUUCGGACCUUGCGCGAUUGAAUGAGCCGAUGUCGGAUUAGCUAGUUGGCGGGGUAAAGGCCCACCAAGGCGACGAUCCGUAGCUGGUCUGAGAGGAUGAUCAGCCACACUGGAACUGAGACACGGUCCAGACUCCUACGGGAGGCAGCAGUGGGGAAUAUUGGACAAUGGGCGCAAGCCUGAUCCAGCCAUACCGCGUGGGUGAAGAAGGCCUUCGGGUUGUAAAGCCCUUUUGUUGGGAAAGAAAAGCAGCAGGUUAAUACCCCGCUGUUCUGACGGUACCCAAAGAAUAAGCACCGGCUAACUUCGUG
rnacentral:rRNA from 1 species